rnacentral:hammerhead_ribozyme from 1 species
AGCCGAAACAGCGGACAAGUUCUGCUGUCUGCCGUGAAUGGUCGCACGGUACUGAUGAGGCAGACCAAA